AUAUUUUAUUCAAAUUAUUUAUUUCACCCCAAUGAUAAAUUUCAUUGGUUUAAUAAACAAAAGUAUCAAAAACAAAAUACGUCAUUAUAUAUAAAUGCAAAUGAUAAACAAUGAAAGUAAAAAUUUGCUGCAACUAAAAACAUGAAUUUUCAAGUUGUACUAUUAAUGGAGAAUGCAGUUAACUUGGUUUCAAUGAGGGACGUUGCUUAACGUACUAACCAAGUUAUGUUUUUGAAUAGUACCAACUUAACUGUUUCUACAAAUACUAGAAACUUAUAUUGAAUGGUUUAAUAAUGCUAUCCAACAAAUUAAAGUUGUAACACACAAGUAAAACAAAUUUUAAUAAGUUUUAUACAAUUUUAAAUCAACUGUUCAGCAACAGUAAUUUAGCAUUAUCAAA